rnacentral:rRNA from 1 species
UACGUAGGGGGCAAGCGUUGUCCGGAAUCAUUGGGCGUAAAGCGCGUGUAGGCGGCUCGGUAAGUCUGCUGUGAAAGUCCAGGGCUCAACCCUGGGAUGCCGGUGGAUACUGUCGAGCUCGAGUCCGGAAGAGGCGAGUGGAAUUCCUGGUGUAGCGGUGAAAUGCGCAGAUAUCAGGAGGAACACCAAUGGCGAAGGCAGCUCUCUGGGACGGUACUGACGCUGAGACGCGAAAGCGUGGGGAGCGAACAGG